UACGGGGGGGGCAAGCGUUGUUCGGAAUUACUGGGCGUAAAGGGCGCGUAGGCGGCCUGCUAAGUCGAACGUGAAAUCCCUGGGCUCAACCCAGGAACUGCGUCCGAUACUGGCAGGCUUGAAUCCGGGAGAGGGAUGUGGAAUUCCAGGUGUAGCGGUGAAAUGCGUAGAUAUCUAGAGGAACACCGGUGGCGAAGGCGGCAUCCUGGACCGGUAUUGACGCUGAUGCGCGAAAGCCAGGGGAGCAAACGGG
rnacentral:rRNA from 1 species